rnacentral:lncRNA from 1 species
GAAAAAUAUCUAACACAGUAACCCAUCAAUGCGUUAUUUGCAUAGAUAGUUUUUGAGCACUAAGGUACCUUAGUGGACUUAAUUCAAAAUUCUUACCGUUAAGACUGGUUUGGUCCAUUGAGAAUUGAUGGUGAGCUCGACUUUUCGACAUAGAUCCUGUUGUAAACAUAUUAAAGAAAUUUUCAGUCGUAUGAUUGGUGAAAAUAAAGGCAGAAGAUAGAAGGGUGGAUAAUUUUGUAAUGCGAAAUGCCAUGGAAAGUUGGGUUGAUGGAAAAUCGUUGAACUUAAUUCGAUCCAGAGAUAAGUGCUAACAUGGAUUUCAGACUAUGGGGGAGCAGAAUCUGGGGUUGAAGGUGAGAGAGUGGGAAAUGUUGCACUUUGAAUGGGAAAUUUUAAGGGUAGGACCGUUCCAUUAAAUCAACCUCUCUUGAUAGAAUUAAAAGGAGAACAAGAGAUACUUUUUCUUCCUUUUGUCUAACAUUUUUGUCUUAAGAUUAAGAAUUUGAUUUUAAUAUUGAUUAUGUUAAGCUU